AGAGUUUGAUCCUGGCUCAGAACGAACGCUGGCGGCGUGCCUAACACAUGCAAGUCGAACGUGAUUGGAAGCUUGCUUCCAUGAAAGUGGCGCACGGGUGAGUAACGCGUAGAUAAUCUACCUGAUGAUCCGGGAUAACACUUCGAAAGGGGUGCUAAUACCUGAUAAGCCCACGGGGUCUUCGGACUCUGCGGGAAAAGGGGGGGACCUUCGGGCCUUCCGUCAUCAGAUGAGUCUGCGUACCAUUAGCUAGUUGGUAGGGUAAAGGCCUACCAAGGCGACGAUGGUUAGCUGGUCUGAGAGGAUGAUCAGCCACACUGGAACUGAGACACGGUCCAGACUCCUACGGGAGGCAGCAGUGGGGAAUUUUGCGCAAUGGGGGAAACCCUGACGCAGCAACGCCGCGUGAGUGAUGAAGGCCCUUGGGUCGUAAAGCUCUGACAGAGGGAAAGAAGUGUAGAGUGGCUAAUAUCCACAUUACUUGACGGUACCCUCAAAGGAAGCACCGGCUAACUCCGUGCCAGCAGCCGCGGUAAUACGGGGGGUGCAAGCGUUGUUCGGAUUUAUUGGGCGUAAAGCGCGUGUAGGCGGUUUUAUAAGUCUGAUGUGAAAGCCCUGGGCUCAACCUGGGAACGGCAUUUGAAACUGGCGGACUAGAGUUUAGUAGAGGGGAGUGGAAUUUCAGGUGUAGCGGUGAAAUGCGUAGAUAUCUGAAGGAACACCAGUGGCGAAGGCGACUCCCUGGACUAGAACUGACGCUGAGGUACGAAAGCGUGGGUAGCAAACAGGAUUAGAUACCCUGGUAGUCC
rnacentral:rRNA from 1 species